rnacentral:misc_RNA from 1 species
GCUCAUUAUUUCCCUCUAGAUUUAGCCCCUAUUGAAGCUCCAUCUACAAAUGGAUAAAAUCCUAGUACUAGUCUGAGUGUAUACUAGUUUUUGAAAUAAAAAAGGGGCAGUGUUGCCCCUUUUUUAUUUUUAGUUAUUAUAUCUUUCAUUACUUAGGUUUUUUUAUCGGAUAACUAGGCUUCCGAGUUCGAGGUUUUAAUCUCGGCAGUCCCCUCGUUGAUUUCAACUUUACUAAUGAGUAAAUUUGUUUCGUUAGAAUCCAUAGUGGAAUUAACAUUUUCAUUUGCUGCUGCAAAAUAACCUAAUUUAAAAAUUCAAAAAAAUCAAAAUGGCAUAACAUACUCGGUAAGGCAUGAGUUCUGAUAUUAAUACUUAAUAAAUACUAAUACUUAUCUUGUAUUUUCGUUUUUUAUUCUUUGUAGGAAUAGCCGCGAAUUUGAUCAUUAACUCUUAUUUGAAAGAUUGAAUAUGUUUGAAAUAGAUAAUAUUAAAAUAUAGAAUAGAUUAAUUUACUAUUAAUAGAUUAUUAACUAUCUAGUUAAUAGAUAGAGUACUAAUUCGAGUUCUAGUUUUGAUUCAAGUCUGAAUCUAUUUAUUUUUAGUUUCUGGCUCCCAAACCACUAGUAUAGUGUUUUUUUUUUUUAAGGUAAAUGAAAGGGCCGAUGUAACCAAGGGAUAAAGGCCAGUGGAAUUGUUGAAUCCACCAUGCGCCCCCUGUGU